AUGCCCCUCUCUCUCCCCGGCCCCGAGCGUGAUUCCUGCUGUAAAAUUCCCUCCCUGGCUUUAGCACUCGAACACCCUGGAGAAGCGGCAGGUGCCCCUGGUCACCUGUUGCUGCGAGGUUCCUGUCCUCUGACCAGGGUGUGCUAUUAUUUUAUUGUAUUGUAUUUUAUUUUUAUUUUUCAUACGGCGCUUGCUGCAAAUGCCCCAUUGCUCUCCGAAAGCGAUUUAUCCCUGGACGACGGGGAUUUUGCUCCCGAGCGCAGCAAAAGGCGCGGGCGGAGGCAGAGGCUGCUCGGGGAGGCUGCGGCGCUCGGCUCGCUGGGCUGCCGGGGCAACAGCAGCGGCCAGCCUGCAGCUGCCCCGCGCACGGGCACGGGGAAUUGCCAGGAUUUUCUCGGACAGGCAUUUCCAAAGAAAAGAGCGCUCUCUGUGUGUCUCUCUCUCACUGGCGCACACACCAAACCGCUCGGAUGCUUCACGACCGGCCACUUUGCGAGGGGAACAACACGGGAGGGUUUGUAUUACUCCAGGGGCAGGAGCUGGCCCGGAUUAGCACCGACUUUAACUCCAGGUUGGAAACACGGUGCGUUUGCGGCUUUUUUNNNNNNNNNNNNNNNNNNNNNNNNNAAAGAGGCAGAUUGGGAUUAUUGGGGUGGGGGGAGGAUUUGGGAGGGAGGAAAGGAGAGGGGCGAAGCGUUAGCCUGGGGCUUUGGGUCAGCCACGGAGCGAGGCAGCCACUCACGAGAAAGCCCCGAAAACACUCCUCCUGGGGGUUACCCCCGCGGCCGCCCCACGCCACGCCACGCGUGGGCGCCUGGCCGGGACAGAGCCAGAUUUGGGGUGGGGUUUUUUUUUGGAGGGGGUGCAGCCCCGCGGGCUCCGAGGGCAGCCUCUGCCCUGGCCCUUCAGGGACGGGCCCCGGCCCCCUCGCUGCGGCACGGCUCCCACCCGCGCCUUCCCACGCGGGACGCCCCACGGCCCAGGUUUCAGGCAGGUUGGAUGCUUGCCCCACACGCCAACCCCUAA
rnacentral:lncRNA from 1 species